GCCAGCCUGUUGUGGAUGGUUUACAAGCUUGUCAUACAGGUCAUGUAUGGCAUUCUUUUUGCCUUCUUCAUUGCUUGCUUGGCAGCUCACUUUCCUUUGUUCUAUUCACUUUCAUUUAUACUCAAUGUAUUUCUUUUUUUCAUUAGGCUCCAUUUUCUUGUUUUAGGUAACUACCUGCACUUCAGUCUAUCACCACUCUUCUCUUUCCCUCUGUUUUCCCUAUCUGCAUCAGCCACAAAUCUCUUCUGCUGCUGCAAUCCAUGUUUUUUUGAGGUAGUUCCAUUCUUCAGCCAAUAUCAAAUUUAUUUCCACUACUGAUGUACGUGUCCAAAUCACUCACCAUCUUUUGGAACCAUGGACUGGCUAUCAUCCAUUGAUUGACAUUACAUAUGGUUUAGUAAUAGUUUCCCUUCCUCAUUCCGUAGUGCCUAGACUGGAAUUUCCUAAGCACGUUAUAUUACCCCUUCUGUUUUUGCCCGUCUCUUCCAUAUCUCAAGUCAUCCAACAUCUCCUCUGGCAUGGCUCUGUCCGCUAGUGCUUUCAAAUCUUGGAGGAAACUCUGCUUCAUUGCAUCUUUCGUGAGGUGCAUAUGCUGAUAUCACAAACAGAACAUGCUCCUUAAUUUGGCCCCAUCCAGACAUCAGUCAGUCACUUACUCUAAUAAUUUCAAUUAUUGUUCUUUCUCAGCUCUCCUCUCACUACCAUCCUGACUCCAUUACAUCUGCUUUUGUUACCAUAGAAGAGUUUACAAUCUAAGCCCAGCUCCCUCACUGUGUUCCCCAUUCACCGUGUUUUCUGCAGGUAUAGAACACAAAUACCUCUCCAUACCUUCAUAUCAGCUACUUCCACACCUUUGUCAGUCAAAUGGGGUACAUUCAAUAUUACUAUUUAUAUGGGAAUUCUUUGGCUGUGCAGGUGGUUGCGAUUCAUCUGACUCUUCAUUCUAACUGACUCUUCAUUCUACCCUGAAUCUCUACAGGACUGUUCAGACGCUGACUGCCAGAAAUCCCCAGCUCAGAUGCUGGGGCUGCCAGGCUUGAGAGUCAACUACCAGGACUCCAAAGUAGAGAGGAGAAGGGUGGGUCAUGGAGUUCCCAUCGGGACACACAUCAUUAUUGCUCAAGAGCAAGAUGUCUCUAUGUGCUGGAACCAUGAAGGAGCCAGACUUUGAGACACAGAAUCCACAGGUUGGGAUGGAGAGUGCGUCUCUCUUUCAGCAACAGAAGAUAAGAAGUGAUUGGAAGAGUCAUCGGUGGACACAUUGCCAGCUGUGACAGGUAAGGGUACUAUGUCUGUCUGGGCCAGGUGGGAGAAAUCAGUAUGUUUGCUCUCUUCACUUUCAACAGGCCUUUCAAUAUUAGAGGGAAUGGGGGAAAAACAUAAAGAAGGCCUUUGUCCCAUGGAAGGAGGAGGGCAUUUCCCAUGGAAUGUUGUCUGAUCCCCAGUCUAGAGCUGUACUGUGGACACUGCUUGUUCUGGUAAGUAGUGAAUAGGUCUAUUACCGGUAUCCCCCAUUGUCAGAAUAUGUUGUGGAGUACCAUCGAAUCUAUCUCCCAUUCAUGGUCAUGUGGGAAUUUGUGGAUGAGACUGUCUGCUGUCAUGUUGUGUAUUCCUGGUAAGUAUGCAGCUGAUAUUAAGAUACUGUGGGAGAUGCACCAGUUCCAUAGUUUUAGAGCUUUUAUGUACACAGAAUGAGACCUGGUGCCUCCAUGAUGGUUUGUGUAAUACAUGCAGGCCAUAUUAUCCGUCAUGACCUUUUUGUGCAUGUCUUUGAUCAGCAGGAGGAAGCAAAGUGCACGUAUUGAUGUGGAGGCACCUCUCACCUGGAGACCAUUUGUCCUGUAUUGUGCGACCAUUGAGAUCCGUGCAGUUAGAAGUAGAGAUGGGGAAGACUGAACAAACAGGAUUCCCAUAUAGACAUUUACUGGGUCCUUCCACCAAUCAGAGGAUCGCUUGACCCUGGCCCAGAUUCUGAAACAGGUCCAGCGUGGUCUGAGUGACUUGCUGGGACUCUGCAAAGGACCAUACCCUGAGAAGGCAGUCGUCCAGGUGUAUAGAUCCCAAGGGAUCGAAGAGUGACCCUCAAAUCUUUUAACAUAUGGAGGGAGGCAUCUGCAUUUUCAGCAAAUAAUUUUGUCCCCCCAAAAGAGGUAGUCUUCCACCGUCAUUUGGACCUCCUUGAGGAAGUCAGAGAGAUGAAGCCACGAGGCCUGUCUCAUCACAACGCUGUCAAAAUAGAAUGUGCCGCCAUCAAAUGCACACUGGAGCGACUUUUUGCCACCAACUGGCCCUCAUUGGUCCUUGUGAGAAUGGGGGAGCUGCUCAAUAAAAGAACUAAAUUUCA